AUGACGCUGGCGGCGUGCCUAAUACAUGCAAGUCGAACGAGUUCUCGUUGAUGAUCGGUGCUUGCACCGAGAUUCAACAUGGAACGAGUGGCGGACGGGUGAGUAACACGUGGGUAACCUGCCCUUAAGUGGGGGAUAACAUUUGGAAACAGAUGCUAAUACCGCAUAGAUCCAAGAACCGCAUGGUUCUUGGCUGAAAGAUGGCGUAAGCUAUCGCUUUUGGAUGGACCCGCGGCGUAUUAGCUAGUUGGUGAGGUAAUGGCUCACCAAGGCGAUGAUACGUAGCCGAACUGAGAGGUUGAUCGGCCACAUUGGGACUGAGACACGGCCCAAACUCCUACGGGAGGCAGCAGUAGGGAAUCUUCCACAAUGGACGCAAGUCUGAUGGAGCAACGCCGCGUGAGUGAAGAAGGCUUUCGGGUCGUAAAAACUCUGUUGUUGGAGAAGAAUGGUCGGCAGAGUAACUGUUGUCGGCGUGACGGUAUCCAACCAGAAAGCCACGGCUAACUACGUGCCAGCAGCCGCGGUAAUACGUAGGUGGCAAGCGUUAUCCGGAUUUAUUGGGCGUAAAGCGAGCGCAGGCGGUUUUUUAAGUCUGAUGUGAAAGCCCUCGGCUUAACCGAGGAAGCGCAUCGGAAACUGGGAAACUUGAGUGCAGAAGAGGACAGUGGAACUCCAUGUGUAGCGGUGAAAUGCGUAGAUAUAUGGAAGAACACCAGUGGCGAAGGCGGCUGUCUGGUCUGUAACUGACGCUGAGGCUCGAAAGCAUGGGUAGCGAACAGGAUUAGAUACCCUGGUAGUCCAUGCCGUAAACGAUGAAUGCUAGGUGUUGGAGGGUUUCCGCCCUUCAGUGCCGCAGCUAACGCAUUAAGCAUUCCGCCUGGGGAGUACGACCGCAAGGUUGAAACUCAAAGGAAUUGACGGGGGCCCGCACAAAGCGGUGGAGCAUGUGGUUUAAUUCGAAGCAACGCGAAGAACCUUACCAGGUCUUGACAUCUUUUGAUCACCUGAGAGAUCAGGUUUCCCCUUCGGGGGCAAAAUGACAGGUGGUGCAUGGUUGUCGUCAGCUCGUGUCGUGAGAUGUUGGGUUAAGUCCCGCAACGAGCGCAACCCUUAUGACUAGUUGCCAGCAUUUAGUUGGGCACUCUAGUAAGACUGCCGGUGACAAACCGGAGGAAGGUGGGGAUGACGUCAAAUCAUCAUGCCCCUUAUGACCUGGGCUACACACGUGCUACAAUGGAUGGUACAACGAGUUGCGAGACCGCGAGGUCAAGCUAAUCUCUUAAAGCCAUUCUCAGUUCGGACUGUAGGCUGCAACUCGCCUACACGAAGUCGGAAUCGCUAGUAAUCGCGGAUCAGCACGCCGCGGUGAAUACGUUCCCGGGCCUUGUACACACCGCCCGUCACACCAUGAGAGUUUGUAACACCCGAAGCCGGUGGCGUAACCCUUUUAGGGAGCGAGCCGUCUAAGGUGGGACAAAUGAUUAGGGGAAGUCGA
rnacentral:rRNA from 2 species